AGUGAACGCUGGCGGUAGGCCUAACACAUGCAAGUCGAACGGCAGCACAGGAGAGCUUGCUCUCUGGGUGGCGAGUGGCGGACGGGUGAGGAAUACAUCGGAAUCUACUCUGUCGUGGGGGAUAACGUAGGGAAACUUACGCUAAUACCGCAUACGACCUACGGGUGAAAGCAGGGGACCUUCGGGCCUUGCGCGAUUGAAUGAGCCGAUGUCGGAUUAGCUAGUUGGCGGGGUAAAGGCCCACCAAGGCGACGAUCCGUAGCUGGUCUGAGAGGAGAAGCAGCCACACUGGAACUGAGACACGGUCCAGAAUCCUACGGGAGGCAGCAGUGGGGAAUAUUGGACAAGGGGCGCAAGCCUGAUCCAGCCAUACCGCGUGGGUGAAGAAGGCCUUCGGGUUGUAAAGCCCUUUUGUUGGGAAAGAAAUCCAGCUGGCUAAUACCCGGUUGGGAUGACGGUACCCAAAGAAUAAGCACCGGCUAACUUCGUGCCAGCCGCCGCGGUAA
rnacentral:rRNA from 1 species